AUCAGGAAUCUUGCGCAAUGGGGGGAACCCUGACGCAGCGACGUCGCGUGGAGGAAGACGGCCUUCGGGUUGUAAACUCCUUUUAACCGGGACGAGAAGGGACGGUACCGGUUGAAUAAGCCCCGGCUAACUCCGUGCCAGCAGCCGCGGUAAUACGGAGGGGGCGAGCGUUGUCCGAAUUUAUUGGGCGUAAAGCGCGUGUAGGCGGAUUUGAAAGCCUGAGGUGAAAGGUUGGGGCUCAACCCCAUACAGUGCCUUGGGGACUUCGAGUCUGGAGGCAGGCAGGGGAUCGUGGAAUUCCUGGUGUAGCGGUGGAAUGCGUAGAGAUCAGGAAGAACACCCGUGGCGAAGGCGGCGAUCUGGGCCUGUACUGACGCUGAGACGCGAAAGCGUGGGGAGCGAACGGGAUUAGAUACCCUGGUAGUCC
rnacentral:rRNA from 1 species